GAUGAACGCUGGCGGCGUGCCUAAUACAUGCAAGUCGAGCGAACGGACGAGAAGCUUGCUUUUCUGAUGUUAGCGGCGGACGGGUGAGUAACACGUGGAUAACCUACCUAUAAGACUGGGAUAACUUCGGGAAACCGGAGCUAAUACCGGAUAAUAUUUUGAACCGCAUGGUUCAAAAGUGAAAGACGGUCUUGCUGUCACUUAUAGAUGGAUCCGCGCUGCAUUAGCUAGUUGGUAAGGUAACGGCUUACCAAGGCAACGAUGCAUAGCCGACCUGAGAGGGUGAUCGGCCACACUGGAACUGAGACACGGUCCAGACUCCUACGGGAGGCAGCAGUAGGGAAUCUUCCGCAAUGGGCGAAAGCCUGACGGAGCAACGCCGCGUGAGUGAUGAAGGUCUUCGGAUCGUAAAACUCUGUUAUUAGGGAAGAACAUAUGUGUAAGUAACUGUGCACAUCUUGACGGUACCUAAUCAGAAAGCCACGGCUAACUACGUGCCAGCAGCCGCGGUAAUACGUAGGUGGCAAGCGUUAUCCGGAAUUAUUGGGCGUAAAGCGCGCGUAGGCGGUUUUUUAAGUCUGAUGUGAAAGCCCACGGCUCAACCGUGGAGGGUCAUUGGAAACUGGAAAACUUGAGUGCAGAAGAGGAAAGUGGAAUUCCAUGUGUAGCGGUGAAAUGCGCAGAGAUAUGGAGGAACACCAGUGGCGAAGGCGACUUUCUGGUCUGUAACUGACGCUGAUGUGCGAAAGCGUGGGGAUCAAACAGGAUUAGAUACCCUGGUAGUCCACGCCGUAAACGAUGAGUGCUAAGUGUUAGGGGGUUUCCGCCCCUUAGUGCUGCAGCUAACGCAUUAAGCACUCCGCCUGGGGAGUACGACCGCAAGGUUGAAACUCAAAGGAAUUGACGGGGACCCGCACAAGCGGUGGAGCAUGUGGUUUAAUUCGAAGCAACGCGAAGAACCUUACCAAAUCUUGACAUCCUUUGACAACUCUAGAGAUAGAGCCUUCCCCUUCGGGGGACAAAGUGACAGGUGGUGCAUGGUUGUCGUCAGCUCGUGUCGUGAGAUGUUGGGCUAAGUCCCGCAACGAGCGCAACCCUUAAGCUUAGUUGCCAUCAUUAAGUUGGGCACUCUAAGUUGACUGCCGGUGACAAACCGGAGGAAGGUGGGGAUGACGUCAAAUCAUCAUGCCCCUUAUGAUUUGGGCUACACACGUGCUACAAUGGACAAUACAAAGGGCAGCGAAACCGUGAGGUCAAGCAAAUCCCAUAAAGUUGUUCUCAGUUCGGAUUGUAGUCUGCAACUCGACUACAUGAAGCUGGAAUCGCUAGUAAUCGUAGAUCAGCAUGCUACGGUGAAUACGUUCCCGGGUCU
rnacentral:rRNA from 1 species